AAAAAAAAACAUUUUUGAACAUGGGUUUUAUUAGCAUUCUAGUCAGUUUAGAUUGGAAUCUUGAACAGUUUUAAUCUGAUUUAAUCGAGGAAAACAGAAUGGAGAGACUAGAUGUUCUUCAAAUCUUGGCAGAAAGGAAUGAAAGAAGAAUUAAACGCGAAUUGGAGCUCAAUGGUUUACCGUCAGAAAGCAAUGAUUCUUUGCCCAUAACCCAAAAUUUUUCAGGUCUUGAGUAACGAAGACUUAUUGUUCCACAUCAGUAGUUGUAAAUGUGAAUCAUAGAUGGCGAUGAAACUUGUAUUUUAGUCUGCUAAUAAAGAGAGAAAAAAAAUUCGAAUAAAAUGUCUGCAAUUGUCAACCUACGUGUUUUCCGUAAUUUUCAGCAGUUUGUGUCAAUUAGACCCAUUUCUAAUUAUCCCACAUCAUUUCAAAAAAAUUAGGAAAUUCAAAAAGUGGAUGGAGAAUUACAUUCUCUGGAUUCGAGUCCAAACAAUUCGUUGAACAUGAGAUCAUACGGACGCAAAGUAUACAAGAGAGCAGCAGUUCAUCUUCCAACAAAACGCCAACUGAUGAAGACUGGCCCUUGGUUUGGUCAGUUUGCCAGAUCUUUCCAUCC